rnacentral:rRNA from 1 species
UACGAGGGGGGCGAGCGUUGUUCGGAAUUAUUGGGCGUAAAGGGUGCGUAGGCGGUUCGGUAAGUUUCGUGUGAAAUCUUCGGGCUCAACUCGAAGUCUGCACGAAAUACUGCCGGGCUUGAGUGUGGGAGAGGUGAGUGGAAUUUCCGGUGUAGCGGUGAAAUGCGUAGAUAUCGGAAGGAACACCUGUGGCGAAAGCGGCUCACUGGACCAUAACUGACGCUGAGGCACGAAAGCGUGGGGAGCAAACAGG